AAAGAAGCAAAAUGCAUACAUACUUACCACCAAGUGCAGCCAGAGUGAAGAACUGCUAUCUGAAGAAGCAAGCAGCAACAAGGCUGAUCUACUUUAUUUUAUCCUUCACUUCGCCACAGUUUCGGCUCAGCAAGGUCGUAACUCAUGUAACUUUGAAGUAGUGCCCUGAUAUAACGGUGGGCGAAGCACUGGAAGACGCAUGCAUUCCUGGUUUUCUUCCACUGAUCCUUCAGGAAAAGAAUGGAAAAAAUGUUCGACACAUUUUUCGUCUUUGUGGAGGGGAUGUCAUUACUCGAAUCAGGAGGGCAAUGCCUAACAUUGAUCCAUACUUCAAAAUGUUUCAACUCCGUGUCUCAUCUGUAAUUUCAAUUUUAGUCAUGUACCUGGUUUUGUAUCAAUAAAAGUUGAGCAAGUUUUUA